ACAUUUCAUUGUUUUGAAGGGACAUGUAAGGGCGAGGAGAAGGGCGAGGAGUAGGGCGAAGCAGUGGCGAUGGAAUCGGCGGCUGAGGCAGCGAGGAACGCGAAGGAGACGCUGGAGCUGGCGUUCCAGAUGUCGAACAUCUUGGAGACGGGCCUUGACCGCCACACCCUCUCCCUCCUCAUCGCGCUCUGCGACCGCGGCGUCAACCCUGAGGCCCUCGCGGCCCUCGUCCGCGAACUCUCCCCCGCGCCGCGCGCUACGCCACCAGACCCCUCCACCACCACCAACUCCUCCUCCUCGUCUCGUCCGAAUACGGUCCACCAUUAGGUGGGUCCUCUUGCCUCCACCCCGAGGUCUAGAAGCUUGCAGCAUUGUUUCUUCCAUCUGAGACUGAGGAUUCUGUCACAAAUUUGUUACCAUGAAGAGAUUUGAGAAAAAGGAAGGUCUUAAAAAAUUUAAGGUCAUCUUUGUGCUGGAAAAUUAUUAUCCAUGCUUGUAAACAAAUUGUUGUGUGAAAAAUGUAAUAGUUUGAGGCAUUACCUUGUCUUGUCUACUUUUUCCACCUUGUUUGAUUGCUAUAUGUUGUAUUAGGUUCAUAGCUAUGUCCCCAAAAGUUGAUUGGUUGUGUACCCAUAACUUGGUUUACUUUCUUUUCAUUUGCAUGCCUUCCUUUUUUAAACUCAUGUCAAUGCUCCUGUUGCCAUUGAGAAACCAAGAAAUUAGUUCCACUAGUAGUAGAUGUCUCUGGUCUUACAAUCCAGUCAAAAUUUAUUCUGGUUGCAGUAUUAUUAGAAACAAUGGAUUAUUUUUGCUUGUGAAGCCAUUCAAAGCUUAAACAGAACAUGAUUGUUUGAAAUAAUCCUUGACUCCAUAUUACUUGUGAAUCUGCAUACAUGUUUGUAUAUAUGAUCUUUUUUUGUUACCUCAUUAAUGUUAUUUUACAUUUAGUACAUGUGUAUGUAUGUAUAUAUGUAAUAUAUGUAUAUAUGUAUGUGUUUGUUUAUAUAUAUAUAUCAAGAAGCGAUUCUAACAUAGUUUUAUGGUCAUUAUAUUGGGCCGGGCUUCAUUGGCCCAAAGGCUCCUUUUGUGGUCGGCUUAUCCUUUGAACUGUAAGAAAAAAGCUUCUCUCGCUUCCCAUUAUCGCCUUCCUUCUUCUUCUCUCUACUUUGGAACCCUAGCAUGACGGCGACAAGAAAUUCGAGCCAGCGGCCUUGCCAUCCAGAGUCGUCCGGGAGCAUCGAAGGAGAAGAGCCCUGAGGCCGCUGCACGCUUCCCUACCGUCACUCCCCUCUCCAGGUGUCGCCUUCGUUUCCUGAAGUUAGAGUGCAUCAAGGACUGCCUCCUCCACCCCCAGGAGGAGAAGAACGAUGCACUGCCUCCUCCACCCCCAGGAGGAGAAGAACGAGUCCAAAGGACUGCCUCCUCCACCCCCAGGAGGAGAAGAACGAUGCACUGCCUCCUCCACCCCCAGGAGGAGAAGAACGAGUCCAAAGUCGACGACCUCCGGGGGUCGCUCGUGAGCGUCGGGAGCUUGGAGGAGCUCAUCGGCGAGAGCCACGCCAUCAUCUUGUCGUCGUGUGGGUCGGAGUACCAUCAUCUCGAACGGGGUUGCUCCAUCCUAGUGCACAACAAGAGACAGCUACGACUACGAAUGUGGUACACAUCCUAUCAAACCUUUGUGAACAAAGCUAUAUGAUAGCUAACAACAUACAACAACCAAAGGGUGGAAACAAUUGACAUGACAAGGUAAUACCUCAAACUACUGCAUUUUCAUACAACAAUUCGUUUACAAGCAUGGAUAGUAGGUUUUUGGCACAAUAAUAACUUCAACUCCAUCAGACCAAAUCUCACCAUGGUACUCAUGUUCAUUCUUUGGGACUAACAAUUUCUGCACCAGAAUCCUCAAUCUCUGAGAUGGCAUAAACGUUUAUGGCUGCUUCAAGUAGAACUUCAAGUUAGAAAAUAGUGAUCAACUAGAGUUGCAGAUUUUUUUACUCUAAAGGUAACUUUUUGCAAGCAUAAAAAUGUCCAUUUAAUUAAACAAGCAUAGUAUCUGGCUUUUAGAGUUAAGAAUCCAUUGCCCACUUUGUGAGAAGAAAGAAAAUAUUAUUUUUUUCGAAGUAUUAAAUGUAUUCCCAUAUAAGGCCCCUCAAAAUUUGUUUAUAAACAAAAAAAAUUGAAAUGCCUACAAUAAAAACAUACAUAUGUCAAUCAAGCUAAGUAACCCACCAAAAACACAUGUCAAAUUGUGAUUUGAAUCUGCUAAUGAAUGAUUGUUCUUCUGGUGUUUUGGCUGCAACGUAAAGCGAAUCAGUGAUUCACUGCAGAUUUUUUUUUUUUAAUUUACCUUUGCAUGUCUAAAAUUUAUUAUGAAUAUUUCUAGAAAAGUUUAUUAGCAAAAAACAGGAGAUACAUCAGUUUACUCGUCGGGAAACCUGUGGUCAUGCUAAUAUCUUUGCCUUUCUUACCCUUUGGUCUAUAUGAAGUAAAGUAAAGUUGUUCUCAAGGGGCCCUUGAUGUCGCAUGAGAUAAGAUGCGACACCUCUUCAUCAGGCUUGAGAUAUUGUUUUUUCUAUCUGUAGGUUCCUUUGGUCUCAUCUUGGAUAGAUCUAUUGCAAUAUAUGUACUUGAAUUUCACAUAAUUACAUAUCAUAGACUCGGUAAUAUCCUCUAGAUGAAGAUAUGAAGGAGUUUCUCUAAAGUUGGCAUGCUACACAGACUUUGUUUCAUUAACUCAUUUAGAAUGAAUUGUUGGUCAGAGCUAAUUGAAUCUGAAUGUUCUUCAGUCAUGCAUAAUUUUUUAAUCUAAGUAUCAUUAAAUUACUUCAGUCCAAAUUCUACUGUUCAUGUUUCACAUUGACUUCGGAUUGGAAAUAGACAUAGUUUACUUGUUCCAUUUUUCACACACAACACAAGAAGUGAAUCACUUUCAACCUUAGUCAAAUUUGGAAGUUCUUCUUGGGUUCUUGGUUACAUUUCUUUGUAGAACAAUUCUGUAGGUAGAGAGAGUGAUGGCCAUUUUUUCAUCUGAAACUAGAGUAACAUGUAAUGUGGACUGUGAACAUCAAUGAUUUAGGAUUAAUAAUAUGAAUGUGAUGGUGCUAAGUGAUUAGAAGUGGGAAAAAGGUCAGCCGCUUGUGUCCUCUUUCAUCUUUAUUUAUGUUCACAUCAUCAUAUGAUGUGAUGGUCGGUCCCAAGUAUCUAAUCUUUUUCUUUCCUUCAUGGCACAGUCUCAAGUUCCUUUGGAAUAUCACACAUAGCUCUUUCAUUGGUCCAUCAGCCAACAAUCAGCAAGAAAACCUGUUGAUAGUGUCAUGUACAACAGGAGUGCAUUUGGAAUCUAAAAAAGAAGGAUGAAUAACCUGAUGUCAUAUUGCAUCUCAAACGGUUGGUAAAACUCAAUUGUCAAAUCAUAUAUAUAUAUAUAUAUAUAUAUAUAUGAUUUAACAGUUAAGUUUUACCUACCUGAGGAUACUUGGGAAGAAGAAGAAGGAAAGCGACAGGAGCAGCUGCAACAGCAAUGGAAACAACAUCUUAUGCAAGAAGAGUGCUCACAUUCGCCAGUCCUAAUUUGAUUUUUUUUUUUACAUUAAGUUAGAUAGAUCUCUUUUUUUUUUUUUUUUAAUUGGGUCAUCUGAAAUGAGGUUAUCAUAUGUAUCGAUCGAUGCUCAAUCCGAUUUAUACUUUUUGAUUUCGUACCAUUUCAGAUGGUACAAUAAUCCUUAAAAGUUCUUAGUCACAAUGACUAUAUAUAUAUAUAUAUAUAUAUAGGGGGAGAGAGAGAGAGAGACUUUUUUCUUGACUCUGAUUAUGAUGUUUUGGGUUGCAAAUAAGAAAUCUUAUCUUAUAUGCCGAGAUUCAUUGA